rnacentral:lncRNA from 1 species
UGAAAACUGUGGGUGGUGCCUCAGACAGUGAUGAUAGAAGGAGCCCUCUGGAGAAAGCAUGUUGGACUUGGGAAUUUGGGAGAUGAGAAAAGCCUUUACUCUCACCCUAUACCCUCUGAAGAGUCUCUUCAUUAAGAUCUUCUGGGAACCUACCACUCUGACCUCGAGAAGGCUUGAAGUAGAGUCACAUCAAAGAACAAUGCCGUGAGCACACAUCUCCCUUCACGACUCCUGGUCCAGGCCUCAAAACAAGGGAGCCAGCUGACCAUGAGUUGAAACCCCUGGAACUGUGAGCUGAAAUGAAAUUGCCCACCUUUUAAGAAUUUUAUCUCAGGUUCUGAUGACUGAACUCAAGUUGUUGGACUUGCAAGCACUGAAUCAUCUUACCAGCCCAGGUAAGCCAGGCUAGCUGACCCAGGAGCCUCCAGGGAUUCUCCAGUCUCUACUUCCUAUCUCUGUAAAACACUGAGAUUACAGAUAUCUGCUACUAUACCUGAUUUUACAGGUGUUCUGGGGGUUCAAACUCAAGUCCUCAUGCUUGAAUGGCAAUGAGUAUUGGUUAUCUCCAAAGUCCCAAAUGAAAGGAUUGCCUAUCCAAAGAAAAAUCUACAAUUAAAAGAGAAAUCUCUGAUUGUGGCAAUGAACAUUUUUAAUAAAGUAGAUGCUUGUGUGGGGUGGGACUGGAGAACUAAGGCAUGAUGAACUCAUCUAUCACUGAAGAUUUGUACUAGGGUACAGAUCCCUAUAGCAGAGUUGUCCUAGGAAAGAGACAUUCCUGGAGUCUGGAUUCUUUGGUUCAUACUACCUGACAAUGGUGGUUUGGAAACCUGGGGCCACUGGGAGCAAUAUCUGCAGCCAUAUUCCUUCUGAGGAUCAGAGAGAAUGAAGUUCAUGAGGACAGACCAGGUAGCCCAGCCAAUGCACAAAUCUCAUAGCAAACAAAUAAACUAAAAAGUGAAUAGAACAAGCUUUGAUUCCUCUCCUGGUAAUGGGCAAAGCUGGUACUGCCUACCUACAUCAAUAUCUAAGACCAAUCAGGAAAUGGCUUAUGGAUAACUCUCCAAGCCUUCCCACAGAAUCUGCACCUCAGUUGCCGUUGUCUUCCCACCCAACGGAGGAAAUUCCAAGGUUCUCUCAAAUGUUGUAG